CACGAAAGUUCUUCUGUCUUAAAAAAAUACUUAAUGAAAUUGAAUUUGUAGUGAAGAUGCUACUUAAUAAUUGUAAGACGAGAAGUCCCCAUGGAGCUUUACUGAAAACUUAAUAGUGUUAUAAGUGGGACAGUUUUGUUGGGGCGACAGUUUUUUAAAAAGUAACGAAAAUGAACAAGGGUUAAUGCUUCACUCUAAAAAUUUUUUAAAGAGACACUUAUAGUGUGUUUUAUGAUCCGUUGUUUUGACUGAAAAAAAUAACGAAAACA
rnacentral:rRNA from 1 species